GAUGAAGAACGUAGCGAAAUGCGAUACUUGGUGUGAAUUGCAGAAUCCCGUGAACCAUCGAGUCUUUGAACGCAAGUUGCGCCCGAAGCCGUCAGGCCGAGGGCACGCCUGCCUGGGCGUCACACGCCGUUGCCCCCCCGCGCCCCGCACCCAACGCUUUGGGAGCGACCGCGGGGCGGGCUGAUGAUGGCCUCCCGUGCGCUCCGCCGCGCGGUUGGCCCAAAUACCGAGUCCCCGGCGACGUGCGCCACGACGAUCGGUGGUUGAGAGACCUCUGUCGCAAGUCGUGCGCGCCCGUCGCGUCACGCGGGCUCGCAUAGCGCCUCGCGCCGCACCCGGUGCGGAGCUUUCAGCGCGACCCCAGGUCAGGCGGGGUUACCCGCUGAAUUUAAGCAUAUCAAUAAGCGGAGGA
rnacentral:misc_RNA from 1 species